rnacentral:rRNA from 1 species
GGACGAACGCUGGCGGCGUGCUUAACACAUGCAAGUCGAACGAGAAGAGAUGAGAAGCUUGCUUCUUAUCAAUUCGACCGGCGCACGGGUGAGUAACGCGUAUCCAACCUGGCCCAUACCACGGGAUAGCCCGUCGAAAGGCGGAUUAAUACCGUAUGCUGUCAUUAAGAUGCAUAUAUUGAUGACGAAAGGACUGGCGGUAUGGGAUGGGGAUGCGUCUGAUUAGCUUGUUGGCGGGGUAACGGCCCACCGAGACGACGAUCAGUAGGGGUUCUGAGAGGAAAGUCCCCCACAUUGGAACUGAGACACGGUCCAAACUCCUACGGGAGGCAGCAGUGAGGAAUAUUGGUCAAUGGGCGAGAGCCUGAACCAGCCAAGUAGCGUGCAGGACGACGGCCCUAUGGGUUGUAAACUGCUUUAUAAGGGAAUAAAGUGAGUCUCGUGAGACUUUUUGCAUGUACCUUAUGAAUAAGGACCGGCUAAUUCCGUG